CCUGUGUUUUAGAGGGAAAAUGAAUGAUGAACGUUAUACAAGCGGAGAUGUUACUCUUAAAAGCAGUGAUGAUGGCUUAGAGUAGGUUAGCUUUACGACGGGUUCUGUGUCCCAAGAAAGACAACUACAGGUCAGAUCAGGCGGGCUGACUGGCAAGGCAUUUGUAGUAUUUUUACUGGAGAGACUAUUUAGAAGUCACACUACUAUCCCUUUACAGAUGAGAAAACCCGGAAGUCUCAUAAUGGUAGAGCCAGGAUGAGAAUCCGGGCCCCAGUGGUUCCUGAGCGAAAGUUCCCAUGCCCUGGUUUAUAAAAUCAGCUUAAGACUGUGAGGCAUCAGCAUUUGAAGAUAACGGCUUACUAAAUAAUUUAUUCAGCUGUUUAUCUCCAUUUAAGAUCUAGUACGCUUCUGUGUCCUUACUUUUUGGGUGGAAAAAAAACAAAACAAAACAAAACAAAAAAAAGCACACACCACAGAAUAGAUCCUAAGGAAUGGGUACAGAAAAAGCAGCUUCUCAAAGUAUGCAUGUAGGCUACAGUGAACCAGGGAUAGAGCAAUCCCAGAAGAUAAAAAGCCAAAGGCCACAAGAGAGACGUUAGUGAUCUGACUCUAUGUGUGUGGCAUGCUAGGGACAGUUUUCAUAAAGGUCCUGGGAUAAAGCACUUGGAUAAUAGACAAGCCUAAUACCACAGGAGAAAGGAAGAAGGAAGGAAGGAAGGAAGGAAGGAAGGAAAAAAGAAAGGAAGAAAGAAAGGAAGAAAGAAAGAAAGGGAGAAAGAAACAAAAACCCACAUUAGGGAAGGGAAGAGCUGACUGGGUUCACAGAGUCUUACAGGAAGCAGGCCCAUGAAGAACAUAUUUAACAAGAAAAAUUAAUUUAAGGGUUAUGUGUCACAGGUAGCUUGUAACUCUUGGACUUCCUGGUCUCAGCAGUAAACACCAGAAGUUAACCAUGACUGAGGAUCUAUUGUUCUAGAAUACUUCUCUGGAAGACAUUAUGGAAUUGCUUUUAGUUUUGUAAACACUAGCUGGCUAUACAGAUAAGUUUGUCAUUAGCAAGCAUUCAAAAGACACCCUGAUAGGCAGUCCUGGCAAUCGCAGUCAAGCCUUGUGUGGCACUUUGUAGUACGGAACUGUCUCGAGUGACAUUUUCCUGUUUUAUCCCACAUACUGAUGUUGGCUAGUGAGGCUCAUCGAAAGGAACGGUUAAGAGCAAGGCAGAUGAUUUAGUUACAAUGCAAUUUAAGAACAUACACAGCUGGCAGCUAAAUUUCUCUUCUGUCUCGGUCUGUGCGGAGUCUUUCUGGUGAGUGGUAGGUAGGUUCAAGCCAAGCCAAUAGGACCCUCGUCCCCAUACUGUGAGCAGACCGUUGAUGAAUCAGAACAGUAGUUUUACAAUUAGCUGAAUAUUUGGUGAUCACUUUGGCUGAUGGGAGAAAUAUGGACGCAGACUUGUCAGUGACACAUCUGGAGGACCCUUGGUAGCAACAGUGUCACUCUUUCUAUGAUGACUGCAUUGUGCUUGUGGGCUCAAUGAAAUGCCCACAGAGGAAUGUUACAUAUGUCAGUAUUACAUAGGAACAUAUUGAGCGGUAUCAAAUAACACGAACGUUUAGAUUAUUAGGUUUUGUAUUUUGGCAUUCCCACUUUCUACUUUGUAACACAUAUAGAAGCUUCAGAUCCUAAUUGGAUACUGUAGAUAGCUGUGAGUAGAACAUUAGAGAAAAAACAUUUAAAGAAUGCACACCAGUUAGGAGUACCUUCUUUGGUAGGAGGAGUUCUGAUUCUCUAUAUACAAUGUAUUUUUUUUAAAUGUAACAAAGAUGUAUUACUUAAGUUCUACUUAACACCAGGUUGCCCAUCUUUGCCCUGGAAUCUUUGAACUGCAUUUUAUUUCAUGUAUCUCUGUGUGUGCCGAAGUGUAUCUAUGUCCACUGUGUGUAUGCAGGAGCCUUCAGACAUAAGAGGUGUCUAAUCCCCUGGACCUAGAGGUACAGAUGGCUGUAAGCUGCCACAUGGGUGCUGGGAACUGAACCAUGGUCCCUGAAAGAGCAGCAAGCACUCUUAACUUCCAGAUGUUGUAUCUCUAGCCCUUUCCACUGUCUCAACCUCUUCUUCUUCUUCCUCUCCCUCUCUCCCCCCUCCCUUAAUUACUAUUUCUAUUUAUACAAUCAGCACAGGGCAAAAAAAUGGGCUGGGAAAGGAAGCCAGGACAUUCGAUUUGACAACAGGCUCUCUGAGUUUUGACAGGAGCCUGCAGAUAGGAAACUUGGGUUGAAGAGAAGAAAACAGUGGAAGGAAGCUUCAGGAACCUAAGGAACCACAUUUCUAUCCCAGGAAGCUCUCCGAGCAAGGAAACUGGAGGCAGGGGCUAAAUUCAUAGUCAACACCACUGCAAUGCCGGUGUGUGUGGUGCCCCAAACCCAAUUACUUACCAAACUGGUUAGUCCUGCAGUGUCUCAGGGUUCGGACAGUAUCUGCGAUCAUGUGCUGAAAGACAGGGGGAGAACACAGAAAUGGAAGGGUCAUUUACUGAUGCCACAGAACCUGCUGGGAUGAGUAGUAGUCUAACCCCUCUGGGUAUAAAGCAAAGAGCUCAACUUGGAGCUGGACAUGACUUUGAUUGAUAGAAUGAAGCUUGAAUUACUCAAGACUGUUGAGCUUGUGACUGCAAGAAGAGUAACUCCUGAAGAGCCAAGGUAGCCUGAACCACAGGGGGACGUGCUAACUUUGGGGCUCCCUGUUUCCCAUCCACAUGUUGCCUGUGUUUCCUCUGCUGGUGAGGUGUUGCCUUUUUGAGACCUCCCUUCUCUGGAAAACAGCACAUUCUGGGUUACUGUCAUUGCUGGGACUUCGCCUUCCUCCUAAUCAGGAACCACCAGAGGGCUUCGCCCACUCAGAACACUGCCCCCAGUUUCUACAGGGCUGGGGAUCAAACCCAGGGACUCUGGAGGGCCCAGCUGGCAACUCUACCAACUGAAUCGCACCCAUGGCUCACAUGCACGUUUUGAAGGGAGGCAGAAAGGUCUGUGGAUUCAAGGGCUCCAAGGACAGCAGGGUGUGACGUAUUCACGAAAGCAGAGUGUCUUCAUCAGCAUUUUACAAAGGCUGUUUCGUUUCUUUCUCACAUUUCCUUACUGGCUUUAGUAUCCUAACUUAGUUUCCGUCCUUUAGCUCCUCACUGAUCUCCAGAUGAAGGUUGUCUUAAAUGCUCACCUUUUGGGGGAUGGGGUGGAGACCAUGCUUACGUCUUAUGCAUAUCAGACAAGUAAGUGUUCUACCAUUGAGGCACCACAGCCCCCAGACCCCUUUUGUUUUUAAAAUUUCUAGCGAGUACCUCACCUGCUGCCCAGGUUGGCCUAGAACCUCUGAUCUUCCUGCCUCAGCCUCCUGUGCAGCUGGGGUUACAGACCCCCCAGGCCUGAGCACAGCAGGGUCCAUAUCUCUCAUAUUCAAUCCCUAUAAUUAGUCCUUUGCCUCACUCUGCUACGUUUACUUCUCCAUAAUGGUCUUUGGAAGAAACCCAUCUCCACUAUGGAAAGCUUCUCCUACACGGCUGCCAGAAUACUCUAAACCUGGUCCCAGCAGAGUUCUCCUAUUCUCUGGAGGACGACAGAAACUCCUCGCCUUGUUUCAUAUCAAACCCCAGAUAUCCCAUUAUUCGAGGAUUAACAUUCAUUAUCUGGUCCUCCAAGCACCGUCGUCACUACGUGCCUGCACAGGCCAGACACUGAAGCAUCCGCAGACGAGGAGCGGUCAGUAAAUUAUCACUGAGAGAAUAAUGUCAACCCUCAAAUCUUCUCACUUACAACGGAAAGACAGAGGCCGUCCUCAAACCGACAGUCUGAUUAAAUUAUCCCGGCUGCAGCUGGGCUAAUUUCGAUGCUUUUUCCAGAGUAGAGAAUUCAGCAGGGGUAAUGAUUACAGUAGCACUCCAGGCGGAAUUUGCAAAGGAAAUGGGACCUGACUCACGUCUGUGUGAACGCAUUGUUACAUUUCCUUCCCCACACUCUACCCCAAUUCCCAGGACAGAUUUUUCCAUUGUUACAGUCUGUGGCGUCACGCUGAUUCCUAUCCUGUGCCAUUUGUGAAGCCCCAGAAAGGCUGGCGCUGAUGUAAGGCUCAAUGCUGUGGGCAGCACUGAAACCUGAAUCCUGAUUCUCAUCUCCCGGUUUCCUGACAGGGAGGGAGGUGGACACGGUGAAAGAUCCUGCUCAUAAUAUUGGGGGGGUGAAAAGAAAAGGAGAGACCCCUUUGCUCUUUCAACAUUUCAUAGUUUGAGGUGGGGACAUUUACAGUCGCUGAGACAGCAAGGAACUUAGCCCAGGGAACAAUGGGAAUCUUACUGCAGUCAAUGAGCGCUUUGAUCUGCAUGUGGUCCCGAUUUAAUGUGCUGGCCUGUGUCAGCCAGAUAAAGAUAACACCCUGAGUUAUCUGCUGACUGGCUUAAAUUAACAUCCACCACGAGGAGUUGGCUCCUCAUCAGCUAAUUCACUUAGGUCCCAGCGGUUCAUUAUUGUGAAAGAUGAUCCUGCUUUAGCUUCAAUGAAACCUCGUCCUUCGCUGAGUGACAUCCUCUAAGAAUACUGUCUCUGUGAAGAUGUUCCAGCUCUUGAGUGGGAUACUAGCCUGAGUAUGAUUUAAAACUGAUUUUUAGACAAAAAAAGAUUCUGAAAAAAAAAGUCUGAUUGCAUCUGUGUUUUCCACAAAGAUAUGUCAACUCAAGGCAUGCUGAGCUUGAAAUGUCACUUGCUGUAAGGACCAGGCCACCGCUAUCACACUUUCCCCUCUUUAGAAAUAGUAUACCAGGGCUGGGAGAAUGGCAUGGUGCCUAAGAGCAUUUGCAGUGCAAGCCUGAGGGCUGAACCCAUAUAAAAAGUUUGUCAUCGCUGUGUGUGCUUGUAAGUUCAGCACUGGGGAGCAGAGACAGGGGGAUGGCUGGGGAUUACUGACCAUCAGCUUAGCUCCAGGUUCAGUGAGAGGCCCUCACAUAGACACACGUGUACACACAGACAUACAUGCAUGCAUGCAUGCACAAACAUACACAUAUAUACACACAUGCACACACACAUACACAUGCACACACAUUGACACACAUGCAUUCAAGACAUACACAUAUAGACACAUGUACACACAGACACACAUGCAUGCAUACAUGCAUACACACACACACAUACACACACAGAUGUACAGACAAAACCUGUCUGCAUCUCUACACCCCAGAAUAACCAGUCAUGAAAACAAACAUCUUCAGAGUUGCUAAGGGCUGUUAUACAGGGUGGUUGGAAGAUGUCUGCUUUUUGAGAGAGUCUGGAAGCUAGGCUCUGAGGCAUUGUGGGGGAGCUAGCUUCACUCUUCCUGUGGGCCUAAGCCCUUGUGUCCUGGGGACCUUACGUCUAGAACAGAGUGGUAAAUGAUAAAAUGUCAGACUUGAGGCAUCAUUUGGAGACCAGUCCUUAAACAUUUCCACACAGGAUAUGAUCUGGGGCCUCAGCCUCAACUGACCUUCUCUGAAGCCUGACUUGAGUCUCACAGGGAGCUUGGAUGGCUCCCAAAAGUGUUCAUACAGUCCAUUAUCAUCACUGAAAAGGUCACUCAAAGGGCAGGUUCCUAGAGAGGAGUGCUGGGGUCACGUCGGACCGUGAUGUAACAUUUCGUCUGUGACACUAAAGGUCAUCUGUCAGACAGGUGCCUUCCUCUGGUCCCUGAGCUGUCUCUUUGCUGUGGAGCACCCACCCAGUCCCACUCAGUUCUGUGGGUAGCUUCUUUUGGCUCCAGAACAGAACAGUCUGAAGAGUCCACUGAGGACUGCUACUGUCCUAGAAGGGUGACUUGGGAGAAGCUUCUCAGGAAUUCUUACAAGAGGCCUGACCAGGUCUCUGUAUCCAUCAGCAGGGAGGUCCUGCAUCAGAGGCUAAUAAGGAGGUGGUCUUUCCCCUCACUUGUAGAACCCACAAAUCUCGGGUACAUAUCCAAGCUUGGGGUACUAGCAGAUAGACAGGUCCAUCUGGAGGAUUUUAGGGCUGUCUCAAAGUGGUUUACACUGGGGCAUCAAAAGACGCUUUUGAAGCAAUCAAACUUUCAAGAGAGGGAACUGUUCAUGCCCCGUUCUGUGUUUACAUAGUCACUGGUGCUAAGCUAGUGAAAUGCUAUUUAGAAGAAUAAGAUUCUCAGAACCUCGCUGGCAUAAUAAUGGCACUGUUCCAUACGUCCAAGGAGACCCUGGGAGUCACUCUGUGUAUAACAGGGAAACAUAGUCAGACCAUUUGCUCCCUGAAGCUGGAGACACAAUCGUGUUUUCCUCUACAGAAAGAAGAAAGGAGACAUAGUGAAACUUACUUACCAGCUUUUCAAAAUUGACAAGAUUAUCCAGGAAUGUUUUAUUUCCUUCAUGAAUAAAUGUUACAUCUGAAAAUCAAGGACAAGAUAACGUGCUAUUAGGAAGAUGUCAUGAGACAACAGAGUUUGUUUAGAAACCAUGCAAUUCAUCAUGUUUUUGCUUCAGUGUUUUGGAAUUAUGCCAUGUAUUUGACAAGGCAGCAGCUUGAAGCUAAAACUGUAAAACAUUUGAUAUAAAAGUUGAGAUGGCGGUAUAGACUUCCUGAAAUAUUUUGCACUUAAAGUUGGUUUUAGCCUGCAUGACUGAAGCUAAUGGUAUAUCUUGUAACUUAAUUUGUCCAUUAUGUUUUUUAGGUCAAAAUACCGAGCAGAAAAACAAAUGAAUGUUCAUAAAUAACAGGGACUUAAUGCUUGUUAUAUUUGCUUUAAAAAAAAUAAUCCCUGCCAGCGAAUACAAAUGGGGUUGCUUUAUUUAAAACAGUUAAGAUUCAGAGAUUUUCAAGUUCCCAUCAAAAACACGCAGAAGUUAAAAAGCCUGUGGAAAAAGGUCAGGAUGUUGGCCCCAUUUAACUGGUACAGAGACAGCAUCGCUGACGGGCUAAAACAGGAAAGGUAGCAGGAUAAAGGGUGAGGUUGGUUUUUUUUUUUUUUCUUUUUGGAAAAGUAAAAGUUAACUUUGGUUUGAGACUCACUAGAUUUAAAGUAACUAAGGAAUUGGGGUCCAGUUCAGUAGCUGAGCCUGAGUUCAGUGUUGAGGGCCCGGGUCUUACCCACCAUGACCCACCACCCACAGAAGUGACUGAGGAUGCUGAGAGUUUUUGUCGGAAAGAGUUGAAGACUGGGGAUGAGACACAUUAAGCAGCACCUAAGGCUCUGAGAACUCCUGGCGUACAAACAUGGACGACACAGUAUAUGAUAGAACCCUCAGCGUCGAUGGCACAGACGAGGAUCACAAUGCAAAUUAUCCCACGUCAAUAUCCCUGCUGUCGUCAACAACAGAUCAAACCCACCAGACAGAGAGAAACAGAUCCAGUCUAAGCUGCUUAGACAGGUGCUGCCGAAACCUGCCUAUAAAACUCCGAGCUUGUGCUGCCAGGGCCUGCAAGAAGGCAACAUGCACUGCGUGAAACACUGCCCUCAAGGUGUCCCUUGCACACAGUAUGGCUUGAUGUGGCGGCAGGAGCUUCUCGUCCUGCAGGUUCCAUACAGCUCUACCAUAGAGGAUGACCUUGUUCCUGCCCUACCUGGCCCACCUGGCCACCCCUUGGGAGUGCUGGGAUUUUAGGCCUGCACCCCACGGCAGGUUUACACACUGCACCCCAUGGCAGGUUUAUGCACUGCUGAGAAUUGAAGGCCUCCUGCAUGCCAGUCAAGAGCUCAACCAACCAAGUUAUACCAUCAGCUGUCAUCUUAUUUUCCUUUAGAAAUGAUUUCGGACAAAGACCAAAGCUUUAAAUAAAAGGUAAGAUUGAUGUUGUCUAACUUUAGUACUUACAUAAAAAACGAACAACUAAGAAAAAGUAAGUGCUUAUUUAAAGCCGAAGGGGUUUCAAGUGAAAAGAAAAAUGCGUUUGAUCUACUGCUUCAUCUGGAAUGAGUGGGUAUAUUUUCAACGGAAAAGAAGGAAAUUUGUUUGGCUAUUGAUAAAAAGGUCUAAACCAAUCAGGGCAGAAAACUGCAUGCAAGCUCAGGUGCGUGAGCACCUUGACUGCAUGAGGGUUUGGAAAGAAAAUGCUAAGGAGACUGGGGUGGGGUGGAGGGGUGCGUGGAGGUAGGAAGCAUGGACACAGACAGACAGACACACACAGACACAGACACGCACACACACACACACUUAUGAGUUAAAGGGACACUGUAAGAGAAGUCAGUGUCUUACAAGCAUUUAUUGCUUUUAUUUUUCAUAUUAAAAAUCAAUUCCUUUCCCACAUAUUUUUCUCAUUUUCUACUGUCCCCAUUAUGUUUAAAUCAUUCCAGGGUUACUCUCUACCUAGGGCUCCAGCUGAAGGCAUUGUGCUUGCAGUGAGAACUGUGAGCUUUCAUAACUCUACCUUAAAGCAAACGAGAACAAAAAGAGACAAAGAAAAGGAAGGGAGGGAGGGAGGAAGAAAGGAAGGCAGGCAGGCAAGGAAACAAAGCUUUAAACUGUAAUUUUGGCAUUUUGGUCUCUCCUUGCUCUUCCCACUUGGUUUCUGAACAGGUCCUGCGGGCUGAACGGAUUAUGCUGCGUAUCCCUCAGGUGAAUGAGCUGUGCUCUGCCUCCCUCGGUUGUCCAAAUGCUGUUUCCCUUUCACAGCAGCUCUGGCUUCACCCGAGAUGAAGACUAAUGUGUGUGUUCAGAGAGGCACAGACAGUGCAGUCCUCCAGGACAAGCAGAAGAGGAAAUGAAUGCCAGCUUAACUGGGAUGGAAGUUGGGGAGUAGAGAAUGAGAGGCCAGUCGGCAAUGCAACUCCUUUCCAGAAUCACUUAUGAGGCCAGUCAAUGGGGCCUGGUUCUGCAAACAGUAUCUGAGAGGCAGAGGUCUGUCCGAUGAAGGCAUAUUUCUAUAAAACCCCUUGAAACAAUUAAAAUGUGGCCAAGGGGGGUUGGGGAUUUAGCUCAGUGGUAGAGCGCUUGCCUAGGAAGCGCAAGGCCCUGGGUUCGGUCCCCAGCUCCAAAAAAAAAAAAAAAGAACCAAAAAAAAAAAAAAAUGUGGCCAAGGAAAAUUCUCCCAAUUGCCUUUCCCUGGGGAGCACGGAAGGUCAGGAGUCCAGGCCAGAUUCCCUCCCAGUGAUGCCCUGACUGACAGAUCACUGAGCCAUCAGCAAGUGGAACUGACAGGUUUCAUAUGACCUGUGCAUGCUCAGCAGACAAGAGCUCUGUGGUCAAGGUAGGGCUUCUCAGACACCAGCUAAGCCCCAAUUCUUGGAGACGGAAAGGACACUUUCAAGCAGCAGUUUUCCUGUGCUGCAUAACUUUCUGUUGAACGGCAUGACCUCUCACACACAGUACACGGAGUGCGGCCAUCACUGAAACUUGGAUGCAGACAAUUGCUUGCUCUUUGGACCCCACACUAGCCUUGUUCUUGAUUAAGUAUUUCACCGUAUUAAAGAAAAUAAUACAUGAUUUAGAAACAAAGCCAUUUAAACCACAAAUUUCUGGUGACAGUGCUUUGACACUGCUCAAGUACAAGUAAGCAUUCCAUACAUUUAAAAAACAAAACCAAAAAACAAACAAAUAAAAAAACCCUGGGGGGGCUGGGGAUUUAGCUCAGUGGUAGAGUGCUUACCUAGGAAGCGCAAGGCCCUGGGUUCGGUCCCCAGCUCCGAAAAAAAAAAAAAAACAACCCUGGGAAUUUAAACAACAAUUCCAUGCAAAACAUGGAUGUAUGAAAGUUGAGGCUACUAUAAGAUAUUAACUGAGAGAUCUGUUAUUUUCUGCUGUAGUUAGAAAGGAAAUAUUUCUAGAGGACAGCAUGGCAUACUGUACCAGAGAGGACAUCAUUACCUUUAAGCAGUAAGGGCAUGAAAGGGAUUUUUGGCGGCUUCAUCUUUUUGAAUGCAUCCCUGUAGGCCUUGUGGUUUAGGGAAGGAUCCUGCCAACCAAGCAGAUCACAAAGGGAAAGAAAAAUCAAUGUCCCAUAAAAGCAAUUCUCAAUCUACAUUAGUUGUACAAUACCAACAUGAUGAGAUACAGAAAGAUUCUUCCUAGGGAUGAAGUGGAUAAAGGUUCCCUUGGAGAAUAAACCCACUAAUUAGGGUUAGGAAUCUAGGCAAUAUGCGGAAUUCAAGUUGGUUUAUGAUAAUGGGAGGCAACGGCAAAGGAGGCAGACACCUUUUGAUUGCCCUAUCGUUUUGCCCAGACAGGUUCUUCAAGUGCAGUCUCCUCUGCAUAAUUUCUACCGGGAGGUGACCUCAAAGUCUUUUGUUAAGCACACAGCAAAGGGAAACUGCCUUUAGAACACAAAGACAAUGCCAAAAUCUAAAGACUAGCUACAGAUCUAGCAUAUGAAACCUCAGAAGCAGUAACAGAAGGAGGAGAGAUUAAUGCAUAUCACGCUAAUUAUUCACUGAAUUCAUAACAAUUAGUGUCAUGUUGUGAACUGGAAAAUGGCCUGUGAAAAUUCAUAUGGAUUUCACAGACAGACAAGGCAGCAUUAAUGGCCACCAUGUUUCAUUCCUUACCUAUAUCUAUCAUCUGUCAGUCUGUCUGUCUGUCUCUCAUCUCUCCAUCUACAUACCUACUUACCUCUAUCAUUUAUCCUUCUCUUUAAGUUAAAAAUAUUUGAAAUUAUAUAAUUUCUUCCCUCCUCUUCUCCCUCUAACACCUCUCUUGUACCUGCCCCCUUGUUCUCUAUCAAAUUCAUGCCUUCUUCUCUCUCUCUCUCUCUCUCUCUCUCUCUCUCUCUAUAUAUAUAUAUAUAUAUAUAUAUAUAUAAUAUGUAUAUAAUAUUAUGUAUAUAUUCUUCAAUAUAUAAAUAUAACCUGCUCUAUCUGCAUAAUGUCCCUUAAAUGCAUAUGAAUUUAGGGCUGAUCACUUGGCAUUGGACAACCAAUUGAGGGGUUCUUCCCUUGGGGAGACCACUGACUAUCUCUCAGUAUUCUUUAGCUGUCUGUAGUUCUUUGUGUAGAGUUGGGGCCCUGUAAGAUUUCCCCUUUCCACAUUAGCUUCUCUUUGCACCAUUUAUUUCUAAGAUAAGGUCUUAUUUCAUAGUCCAGGCUGGCCUGGAACUUGUAAUCCUUCAACCUCAUCUCCCCAAAGACCUAGGAUUCUAUCACCACGCCCAGCUUAAAACUGUACUUUUAGAUCAAGUAAUCAGUCUAGGCUUUGAUAUCACAAACAGUUCUUGAACCCAGAAGGAAAUAGCACUAACAUUAAUUUGAAGAAUAAGUCUCCUUUACUUACCGUUAAACUCUCAAGUUCAGAGAAAAGUUUCUUAAACUUCCCAGGAAUUUUCUAAAAAGGUGAGAAAACCAAACACCACAAUGAGAAACCACAUGGGUCACAGAAAGUGGCUAUGCUGAGAAGGGGCCCUAAGGGAUGUUUGCAUCGAGUUCUGCUUAGUCACCAACACAUUUCUGAGCAUCGGUCCCUGUCGUGGGGCUCUGCCCUGAUUCCAUCUCAUUAUGCAAUCUCCAUCAUCCACUCAAUAUGCCCGUGGUUAGGCAUGUGGCUAAAAAUAUCCUGGCAGCCACAGGAUAAAGGAAUCUAGCUGGCUAGACCGUCUACACACUGGUGGUUAUUUAAUAGACACUUAGGUUCCAGUUCUAUAUCAUCUCUAGUGAACGUGCUCAUCUAUCUCAUGGUCUACCGAGUGGGAGAUAACCACGUUGGCCGACUGGUUUCUAUAUAAAUGGCUUUGCUCGACUGCACAGCAGAAGCGAGAUAAUAAAAGAUGGUGAAGACCACAGGUGAUGCCCCUUGCACCUUAGCAAACGGAAUCACUGAAUCUGAGUGCAAUAGGAGGCUUAUAAAAUGACAGAAGACAGAAAUGUGUGGCUGCGCCAUCCUCCCAGGUCAAACCGCAGGCUCCAUGAACACCCGGAAAUGUGACAGAACGCCUUUAACGCUAACAGGAGGAAAUGUGGAUCCUUUCUUAACACCUUAGUGGCCUGUUGUAGAAAGCUGACCUAACCAAGGCACCCUCUCUGGCCUCGACUUUCAGCAAAUGUCCAUGGUUGCUGGUUAACAGAUCAUUAGCAUUAUCAACAAGGUUCAAGAUAUACCAGACGGUUUUUCAAACCAAAUCAAAAGAAUGGUGAUAACUUUUCAACAAUUAAACUUUAAAACUACCCAAAUUUUCCAAUGUGAUAAUUUUCACAUGACUCAGCUCUCCCACAGUAAGCAGCCAAAUCUACCUGGAAAUAACUUAUCUGCAACAAAUAAAAUAUAAAAUGCAGACUCUUUCAAUUAUUUCCAAUCUUUCCGCUGAGCUGUAUCUCAGUCUGUCCAACGUCUCAAUGAACGUCCCAGGGGCACCUAAAACUCAGUGUGCUUCGAAUCAAACUGGCUUAGCCAGAGGUCAGACAGGAGGCAAGUCUGACCUAGAGACUAUUUUGUAAACCUUUUACUGGAGCACUCCCACGGCCAUCGUUCAAUCAUUAACUAUGACUGAUGCAUAACAACAACAGAGACCCUAAAAUCAGCGCACCAUAACAUCUGGCUGAGCUCUGACUGCUCUUCUCAAACCUAGUUCUUUUCCUUUAUCUGAUAACACGGUCCCUUCCCUUUGACGCCGAGAUCCUGUGGUCACAUCUGCUGGGAAGCCCAGCCUCACUUCUUCCUCAACCACCAGAGCCCUGCUGCCCCGGCUUCUUAGUCUUUUCAGCUGCUCUGCUCUCCGUGGGCCUGUGAGACCUGGCUUACAGGCCCUUCACCACACAGCACUGUUCUCUGGUUGUCUUCUGUGUGGCAGCAAUGCAGUGUGGUAUGUGGGACACACAGUAGGCAGUCGAUAUGCAGAUUCAGAUUUUCAGAUCUAAUUCAAUUACUUCUGCACGUCAAAGGUUCUUUUGAGGUUUCACUCUAAUCCAUUCUGUGAAGACCCUUGACCUCCAUUUGUCUUCCUAGAGUUCUCUCCCCUCUCUUUUAAUCUUUAAUGUUCUUGGCUAUUUGGUUUGCUUAACCAGAACGGGCAACCCUUUCAUAUCUUCCUUUUGUUGGAUCCCCUUAAGGGAGAGCACUAACACCGUCCCUGGGUCAGCACAAUGCAUUCCACUGGGCACAGCUCCUGACUAGGAGAAUGACAGUCAACUACAGGAACAGGAGAGACCAAGGAGACCACAGUAAACUAUACAGUGGAUCAAGAAUAUUGGAGAGAGAGAUGAUGAGCAAGAGGAACUGCACAGAGCAAAGGCGGCCAUCUCUGAGAGGUGGGCCAGGAAAGCAAAAGCAAACAGAAAGAAGAAUGGGACCCAAGGGAGAGGUCUGUCUGCUGCUUCUGGAUAAUUCUAGCUCCUCUGGUUAGGUUCUUCUCACACAUCCUCCAGAGUCUAUAACGCCAACUAGACUGGCCACCUGCAUCUUGCUUUCUAUGAAUACAGAAAUUGCUCUUUAAGAAAAUUAGAGGGCUGGACAGAUGGCUCAGGGGUUAAGAGCACUGGCUGCUCUUCCAGAGGGUCCUGAGUUCAAUUCCCAGUCACUGCAAAGUGACUCACAACCAUCUGUAAUGGGAUCCAAUGCCCUCUUCUGGUGUGCCUGAAGAGAGUAACAAUGUACACACAUACAUAAAAUAAAUAACUCAAAAAAAAAAAAAAAAGGAAAAGAAAAAAGCAAGUGUGAAUGCAGAGAAAGAUACCCAUGCUCAUGUGAACACACUGAGACCUGCAAGCGGGAGGCCUUGAAGCUUAGCUUCCCCUCUGUGUGCCCUUCGCUCCACAGGCCGGAAUGAAGGAUGACAAGGCAGCAUGAAGCUAGGGCUGCCUUCAGGGAAUGCAGAAGGGCGAGGAGAAAUUUAAAACAUUUACUUAAAAAAAAAACCUUUCUCGGGGUUGGGGAUUUAGCUCAGUGGUAGAGCGCUUGCCUAGCAAGCGCAAGGCCCUGGGUUCGGUCCCCAGCUCCGAAAAAAAGAAAAAGGAAAAAAAAACCAUUCUCAUAUAUAUUAGAGAACCAUGUUAAAGAUCACCUAAAAUGCCAUUUGAUAGAAAUAGUUCCUAUCACCCUGCCACAGUCCUACUUUUUUUUUUUUUUUUUUUUUUUUUUUUUUACUGAAGCAGAAUCUGUCUGGUUUAGACCAUUUAAAUCUACUUAUUUCUAACACAGGCUCCGCCGGAGUGGUUCAUUGUGUCCCAUAUCUACACCCUCAGUCCCAGUGGGAAGCCCAAGGCUCACCUCCCAGGUCUGUGACAGCCGGCUGACAGAGGCGGUGUUGAGACCCAUCACGAUGGCAAAGAAGGAGUUUAGGUUCUGCUGGGCUUUGCAGCUGUGAAUAAAGGAGCAGAGGAGACUGAGAAAGCAUUUCUCUCAAACACUGGGCAGUUGCUGACAAAGCCACACACACUAGCCACCGUCCACCGCGUGUGUUGGUUGCCCCAACUGUUUCUAACACAGAAGAAAGGAUUUCUAGAUCCUCUCUGCCCCCCCGCCCCCGAAAAGCCUUCCGGACACUGCAGGAGACCCCUCCCCUCUAACAUUCAUUUGCGCACAAUUAUGAUUUCAGUGAUUGGGAUCUGAAAUGCCCACUUCUCUGUAUCCACCACAGACUCCUGCAGCUCCCCUCUGCUUUCAGUUCUGUGCUUUUCCUGUAUCUGGAUGUGGGCCCCUCCCACUUCACAGGUCUAAGUCCUUUCAUUCAUUCUGCCAAACUGCUCUUUGCUAACAACAAAAUGUAUCUAUCAUCUGGCUGGCUGGCUAGCCAUCUGUCCAUCUAUCCAUCCAUCCAUCUAUCCAUCCAUCCAUCCAUCCAACCAUCCAUCCAUCCAUCAUCAAGCUAUCACCUAUUAAUCUAUCAAUUAUACAUCAUCUAUUAAUCUAUCAUAUCAGUCUAUCAUUUAUCUAUAAUCUAUCAAUCAUCUAUCUCUCAUCUAUAUACUAUCAAUCAUCUAUUACCUAUAAAUUCAUAUCAAUCUACCUACCUAUCUACCUACCUACCUACCUACCUACCUACCUACCUACCUACCUACCUAUGAUGUAUCUGAGUACAUGGCAUAUAUUAUGGGACAGGGUACCACAUUUCCCUUUCAUAAAAGUAAGAAAACAAAAUGGAGCUUUCGUAAUCCCCACACUAGGGGUAGAGACAGGAGGUUCAGAAGUUCAGGAAGGUUACCUUUCACUAGUGGAAGCAUUGAAGGCCUGUGCAGAGAAACACGAGACCUCGUCUCUUAAAAAAAAAAAGAGAUUUUUCGUAGGUUUUUAAAAUUAUAGUUUUUCUGGUUGUUGAGUCCUUUGCUGGUCUCGAUUCUUCCCUGUUACAUAAAUGCUGCAGUGCGUAUCUUUCUUUUCAAACUUUUUAAUAUUUGUGACUUUUUUUCCCCAUUAGGCUUCCAGCUAUAGCACGGCGGUACAAAAGCUAUCAGCAUGGGGAGCAUUUUUUGCUUUUUGUUUAGUUCCGUUUGUUUUGAGUUGGUUCCUCAUUAUGUAGCCGGGGCUGCAUGGAACUUGUGCUAUGACUCAGACUGCCCUCAGCUUCCCAGCGAUGGGAGGCUACCACCACCGUGUCUGCCAGCUAAAGCCGAUGCCUGCCAACUGUCUUCCAAUGCUGUGACAUUUUAGUGCCAUUAGAACAAACAGGACUAUGCAGUUCAAAGUUAGGGAAAUGGCCUAGGCUGUGGCCUGGGGGUCCUGGCUACCUUGUGAACCAGAUACUGCUCUAGUCCAACUGUACCUGGACUUCUAAGUCUGGACGGAAGUUCUCUCCCCAUGAAGACAAGAGCUGGAGAGACACUGCUGCCUCCACACCUAGAGCAGAGAGGUAUCUGGGGACACAUGUCCAGCAGGCACAUCGCUACUAAGCCUCUUCUGCUACGGCUGGUGCCCAGGUCUGACCGGUUUCAGCUACCUGUCUAGGACAGCUUUUGAGACUCUCCCAUCCUUUGGCUUGGUACUGACUCCACCUGCUUCUAGCAUUCUACACUGCAGACAGCUCACACAGCCAGAAAAGGCUUGGUUUAGCUCCAUCUCUUGACAGAAUGUUUUGAAAUACCAGCUCUUCUGCUGGGGCUCUAGUCAGUAAGAAUGUCUAAGUGGAUCCAUGGUGGAGGCUGCCUCCUAGACUCUGGUGGAUCCACAGUGGAUGACAUAGGCCUGUGUGGAUUCAUGGUGAAGACACCUCCUAACCCUGAGUCCUCCCAUGCAAAGAAGGCCCUAUAGGUUGUUAUCACCGUGAACAGGGAAGCUGAUUAGGGCUGGACUACAUUAUCUACCCAUUUUUAUUUUAAUGUGUAUAGCCAGUUGCUAAUGCAUAGCAAGGCAUGCACAGAGCAGGUGCUGAAGCUGAAAAUAAAAAUGUUUAUGUAAAUGGUUAUUGUUUU